GCAGACACAUUCCAGCCAAUCAGCAGCAGACCCUCCCUCCCAGACUCUCCCACCUCCUGGACAGCAUCCAUUGUGAAGCUGCAUUCUUAGUGUGCUGUCCAGGAAGUGGGAGGGUAUGGGAGGGAGGGUCUGCUGCUGAUUGGCUGGAAUGUGUCUG
rnacentral:miRNA from 1 species